ACGCGAAAGGCCCCUUCGGGGGCCGAGUAGAGUGGCGCACGGGUGAGUAACACGUAGGUAAUUUGCCUUCGGGUGGGGAAUAACAGCCGGAAACGGCUGCUAAUACCGCAUAAUGCAGCGGCUCGACAUCGAGACAGUUGUUAAAGCGGGGGAUCGCAAGACCUCGCGCCUGAAGAGAAGCCUGCGGCAGAUUAGCUAGUUGGUAGGGUAAUGGCCUACCAAGGCGACGAUCUGUAACCGGCCUGAGAGGGCGGUCGGUCACACUGACACUGACAUACGGGUCAGACUCCUACGGGAGGCAGCAGUCGGGAAUUUUGGGCAAUGGGCGAAAGCCUGACCCAGCAACGCCGCGUGAAGGAUGAAAUCCCUCGGGAUGUAAACUUCGCAAGAAUGGGAAGAAUAAGUGCGGGCUAAUACCACGCACGAUGACGGUACCAUUUGUAAGCUCCGGCUAACUCCGUGCCAGCAGCCGCGGUAAUACGGGGGGAGCAAGCGUUGUUCGGAUUUACUGGGCGUAAAGGGCGCGUAGGCGGUCGUGACAAGUCACUUGUGAAAUCUCCGGGCUUAACUCGGAACGGUCAAGUGAUACUGUCGGACUAGAGUACAGAAGGGGCAACUGGAAUUCUCGGUGUAGCGGUGAAAUGCGUAGAUAUCGAGAGGAACACCUGCGGCGAAGGCGGGUUGCUGGGCUGAUACUGACGCUGAGGCGCGAAAGC
rnacentral:rRNA from 1 species